CCACAAUAAACUUCCUAUGUUGGAGAAGAAAAGGAGAGACGGGACAUGCAUGUAAGAAGGAAAAUUGGUAUAAGGAAAAAGAAGUCCUGCAAAUCCUGGAAGAAGGGUGGUAUCUGGGAAGAAGGAAAACCACUGGACAGCAGAGAAGGUGAAAGGGAGAGGUGACAACAUGCAGUUCCUAGCCUAGAUGAGCAGCAGUAUUAGUUUUGCUGGUCAACACCUGUGCAGGGCCUUGUGCCAGACCAACUCAGACAGCUUGAGGGGGCUCCAGAAGAAGAGAUGGCCUGUGUGCAGAGUUCCUCACCAAAGCAUGCUGAAAACCAACAGGUCCCUUUGAUACCUCCAGGCUCUCCUGAUCAUGCAUCAUGGUCAUGCCCUGGACUCAGACAGUGGACUGUGGCAGAGCUGUGAGAAACCAACCCUUGGCUAAGGUCGCUGUCCCUGUGUUCCAUCUAGUGUGCAGGUGGAAAAAACAUCAAUUUCAACAUCUGAUGAAGAGUCCUGUAAACUGAACACCAGCUUGGUCAGCCUGGUUUGAUUAAGUAGGAGACAGUAAAUUUCUGAUGAAGUACUAUGUUAAUAUUUAUUGCUCUGACUUACCAAGGCUCAAAUUUACUCAUGAAAAUUUAUAUUUUAAAAAAAUGGAAUUUUUAAAAUUAAUUUAGAUUAAUUAAAUUAGAUUUAGCUUUAGCUUUAUAUUUAGAUUUAGAUUUAGCUUAAUAUCAAACAGAGGUUUGUCUUCUCAGAUAACUGAGUGAAAUAUUGGAGUCUAAUACAUGCCUCAAAAAACUUUCAUGAAGGUAAAAAUAAUAAAUAUUUUUUCCCCAUAGUUCGUCUACACAGUGCUUUUAGGUAAACACUGACAUACACCUUUUAUUUGAUAUAACUAAAUAAAUAGUACUAAUAAAUAAAUAUAACUCAUAUAUAUUUAUAUCUAUUAGUUAUGUUCUUCUUCAUUCUUCUUCAGUUCCAUUUCUAUUGACCUUUCAUUGAGUGCAGUCCUAUAGAAGUUUUUCAGAAUGGAUACCUAUUUUUUUUUUAAUGUGACCCCAUUGCUUCAUUAUACCACAAUAUAUCUGUAGAUUACCUUUAUGCUUUUUUUAGAAUUUGCACUUUUUAUAAUCUCUCCACCAGUAACUUUCAAUUGUGUUUGCUGUAAAUUUCAAGACUUUUAUUUUGUGCCAAAUUUUGUGCCAUUAUUUUAAUGAUUUCUUAAUAAUUUUCUUCGAGUUUCAGUAAUCAGUCUAUUACUAUAGUACAUUGCCUUCCCUGAGAAUGACAAAUUCAGUCUUUGUGGUGUCCCCAAAAGUAACUCUUUCUUCCUUCCUUCCUUGUAACCCUAUAGUAGCCCUGGCUUUUUCCAGGUAAAGAAUGCUGCUGUCUUCCUGAGCCCACUCAGGGUAUUUCAGAAUUGCUUAUCCUUUAGGUGCCACACAGGUCACUGAAAUUCUCUGUUGUUUCAACCCAGAACCAGUGAGAUGUUGGUAGAUUUUGAGAGCAGAAAGCUUUUCAGUUCAAAGUUUUUAUUUCAGCUCUGUUAAUGUCAAGUCUUCUCAGCGUAACUCCUCUUUUCUUUCACGUUUUCUCAAUUUGCCUGCUGGCAGUUUGAUUCUAUUUGGAAUAUAGAAAUCUUGUAAGCUGGUCAACAUCCGCUCAGUUAUUGCUGAGCAACAUUAUACUGAUGAUACAUUUUUGUUCUUACCUGCAAAGAAAUAGGGAAUUAAAUAUUAUUUUUAUAAAUAUCUAGUCUCUCAGGUGAUCUGCCUGAUAUUUUCUUCUCUUAAUUUGCAGAGUUAAAUGCAAGGGACUUGUAAGGGGGUAAAAAGUAAAGCACACCUGAAAAUGAAACAAGGGACUUCUGUAGCUAUAACAAGCAGGUGAGGAUUUUAGAGCUGGUUUAAACUAAUCCAAAGACCUGAAAAAGAGUCUUCCCACGAUUCCUUGAUCCUGGCCAUGUGUCUUGCCCUUUCCUUUGGCUUAGUGCAGCUGAUCACAGAGGUGGAUGGUGUGUAAUAUUAGCUUUCCACUAAGAAGAGCUAGCACAACUAGACUGAACUACUCAUUCACAUUUUGCAGAAUAGGUAAGGUUAAAUGGGUCCUAGUUAGUUGUCUUGUGUGUGCUUUUCUGAACUUGUUUUCAUAACAGACAUAUGCAAAAAGUGUCAGCAUUUCCCAGAUGGGUGAAAGGAUUAAUAUUUGUAAAGUCAUCUAUAUUUCAGAUUUGUUUGGAAUUAAACAUGCUGUAACAAUAAAGUUAUUGUUGGUCUUCCUCUGAGCACUCCCAUUUUACUUCACAGCUUAAUAGCCACCAGAAAAGACAUCUGAAAACUUAUUGUAUUAUUAUUUAUGAUACAUACAAAACAAAUAGAGAAGAAAUGUCACAAAAUAAUUUAAACAUACUCAGCUUUAGCACAGAAAGCAAGAUCAAACUAAUUAAAUCCGUAUUAUCACUUUCUGUACAAACCACACACUGUUUUAAUGUGUUGUAAAUUCAACUCCCAUUAAAUGAAGACCUGAUUGUGCAUACAUAUAUAUGUAUGAGAGGGGGGCUGGAGAGAGAGAAGAUGCAAAGAGUCCUUCCUUCUGGGAUUUGUUGGAAGCCCCUCGUGGCUCCAAAAAGCAUUGGGGCAGGGAGUUGCCUGCCUUUGUGCAGUGUCCAAGUACAAAAAUGAAAGAGUAGUAGCACUGCUGUCCCUGUUGUUUCCUAAAAGAGGUCUGGUGAGAUGCAGUAGGUGAGAGUUAAUUACUGAUUUGGCACAAAGCAUUCUUCUAUGUUCUGCUCUGAAUCUCCAAGAGACAUAUUGGCUCAGCUGAUCAGAUUCCUUUAAUAACAAAGCUUCCAGGUCUACUCGUGCUGAUCCUUCUCUGCUUCAUAGCCAAUGAUGGUCAUGGCUUGGGGCCACAGUCUAACACUGUGACUCCAGAAAGAAUGUUUGUUUUUUUUUAAUGUCAAUCCAAUGUUAUUUUAAAAGAGAGACAAAGAACUAAUGCAUUUCCUGGGGUUCCCAACUUUCCUGGAUACUGUUCAAGCUGUUUCAGAACUCAAGUGCUUCCUAAAAGCUGUCAGUGAGGUUGUGGCAACACUGCGGUGUCUCAGAUGCAGCAGCUAUGGAGUUAUUUGACAGAAAUGUGCUGAAAAAUGCCAGCUCACUAAAGUUAAAACAUUGCCUUCUAAAGACUUCCAUUAGUAUUUGCCAUGGUGACAGCCAGGUAGCAGUCUUGACCAUUUCCUCAAGAAUUUGCCCAGCUGCUGGGGUUACUGAAAGCUGCUGUGCCCACAGGAAUGGAGCAGAUCUGCCCGACUAAUCUUACUUGCAUUCAGUUGGGUGUCUGGGCAACUUGAGUUGGAAAGAGCACAACAAGACACAGAGGUGGCUGAAAAAGAGCUAAGGGAAUACCUUAAAACACUGGUAAUUUUUCCAAAAGCAUCCUGAGAUGUAUCCAUAGAUAAUUUGGAAACAAAGUUGACAAUUAUAUUAUGUAUUUGCUAUAAGCAGCUUACACAUUUAUAGACAUACUUCCUUUCCCCCAACUAUACAAUAAUACUGGCAGUGCAGAAAAACACUCAUUCAUAUUAGCUGUAUGCUUAAUGUAUUUCUGCAGUCCUGGGCAGACAACUCUUCAAGGCUAAAAAUUCAGUUCUUCAUUAUUAAAAAAUACCAGUCCUUGCUAUAGGAGUUGAUGACUCAGUGAGAAUUAUAAUUAUAAUCAAAGCAUAAUAGGCAUUUUGAGCCCCUUAUAAUUGCUGCCAAGAAACUAUUUAUUCAGCUAAAGAAUUAAAUCUUUGUUUGUAAGCUCUUUCUUGUUCACAAUAGAAAUAAAAGUGUGUGACUUGGCUCAUGAGCAGAUACCAGUCUGGCUAUUUUACUCAGAGUGAAAAAUAGGCCUUCAUGCAGAAAGACUUGGGAUACUUAAAACAAUUAUUUAUACAUAUUUGCCUCUAUAAAAUCCAGUGUUUAGCUCCAAUGAUGCUUCUGAUUGCUCUUCUCCUUUACUGCAUGUUGAAGACUCUGUGAUGUGCUGUAUGUUCAGUAUUGCAUGCAUUUCUGGUACAACUCCCAAAGCUAGAAAAUUAUUUAGGAAAAAUUAAAUGCUGGAUGCCAAGAAAUGAAUAAAUGGUACAGAUGAACUUGGUAAUUUUUCUUGGUCCCUUACUUACCUGUUGUGAUAAAAAUAAGGCUCCCUGAAAGUAGCUGAUGAUCUUUCUCUGAGAGAAAGGGGAGUGAAAAUGACACACUGAAUUCUUCUACUUCUUACAAGCCAAUACCAUAAGAAAAAAGACAUUUCAGGCAGCCACAAUCAAUUUACAUCAGCAGAAGAAAUAUUCUGACUUGCUACAGAGUCAGCUGAUGUUCUUACUUUCUGUCUUCUCUAAACAUGUGAGUAAAUUCAGCAUGCAAAGUCUUUUAGUUUUAAGAAAGCUGGGUGGCUUCUUGUAGAGUCUAUUGUCUGGAAAAGGCAAAUUCUUAAAAAUAAUAUCACAAAAUAAGUUCUCUUCAACCUGAAUAAGGAUUAUGAAGUCAGGUGUGUUGUCAGGUGGUAUAACGGGACCCAUAGCUCCAUGAAAGGAAAAACAUCAAUGAAGGUAACAACAUGCAUGAUGACCACACCAAGACAAGGCAGUGGAACAUCUCAGCAGCUGACCCUUUCCACAAUGUCUGCUAUACUUAUCCAGUUAGGUGAGAGAUCCUGGUUUAACUUGGGUGGUGUUUAGAGUGAUUCAGCCUUAGAAUUUGUUCUUCUUAUUGAGGUAGGAGGCCAUGGCUUAGAGGAUUCCACAUAGGAUCGCAUCUUUCUCUGAUACUUGUAUUCGAUCGGGGAAAGGAGUGCAACGAGUGCACAUCACAGUAUAGGCACAAACAUAACUCAGUUUGACUCUAUCUACACAGUUAUGCCUAACAGGGAAAGCUUUUAUGUUAGGGAUCCAAACUUAAAGAGCUUUGGCCAGCUGCUAAAAGAAAACAGUAGUUUGCCCAGGCACUUGUCCUAAAUCAAAUGCCUUUGUUGUGUCUUGUAUCAUAUGUAUUUUGUACAGACCUAACUUAUUUUAAGGUAAUUUAUUUUAAAAGAACCAUGCCAGCCAACUGUUUCCAUGAGUGAAUGAGCAUGUGUAUUGUAUAUCCGUGUAAGAAGAAGUGGUGGGAAAAAAAUGCUGAUUUAAAGUUAUUUCUUAUCCCAGUAAAAUGAGGGAUGCUAUAAGGACAGCUUUUUAUUUCAAGCUGUCCUGCUGUUUGGGUCAGAGUCUGUGUCAAGUCAGUAAGAAUUCUUCCUUUAGCUUGAAGAAGAUCAAGAUUGGAGCAGCCACAGUAGUCUUAAUAAAUGUAAAUCUUAUUAGAAAUACCCUCUUUUAUAGCAAGUGCCAAGCUGUGCAAAGCUCCAGGCUACAUUACCUUAUAACAUUGACUGAAAUGGCAGAAGAAUUUACCAUGCCCGCUAAUGAAUUUUUUUAAUUACUCUUUGCAAACAGGGUGAUGCCGAGCCUCUAGUGAGAAGAAAAUUAAUCCUUGAAUUGAAAUACACUAGUAAGGUUUAAAUCAUAUUUUUAAAAGUAUUUUCUGGUCAGCAGUGUUACUUCUUAAAUCAGUCUAGGAAAUUACAGAUCUUUUUUUAUCUUAUUUUUAUCAAACAUUGAGUUAUGGGAAAAAAACUGCUAACAUUUGUGGAGGACUUCUGCUUACCCAUUACAGAAAACAGCAUAGACAUUAGAAAUCAAAGCUUCCCUACACCAUCAACUCUGGUUGUCAUCCUAUUAGCUAGGGAUGUAGGACUAUUCUAGAGGUCUUUUAACUCCACCUUCCCUUGGGCUGUUAAUGAGGAAUUAAGCUUCCAAGGUCUAUUACAAGCUUGAACCUUCUGACCUCAAGAGAUGGGUAUCUAUACAACUAGGUGCUGGGAUUGUAAGCACAGUGAAAGGGCUUGAGCAUGGUAAAACUCUGGGAGCAAUGAGCUGGAGAUUCGUGGCUCCUUCAGUCUUAGGCCCUGCCUUGUGAGACACUGUGGAGGCACAAUUGUCACCAGUGGUGGUAAACCGGUGAUGAACUGGCUCUCCAGACUGAUGGUGCACAUUCCUUACCAAGUGUUUAGCUGCUGGAAAGAUCAUUGUGUGCAAAUUUUUAGUGGCAGAAAAAACAGUGAAAACUGAGCCAGAGGAACAUGGCCUUCUACUGAACUUACAACAGAUAUCUCCUGGGAAAUUCAGGUAGGCCUAAUUCCCUUACCAAGAACAGGUGGCCAGGUGGGAGACAGACUUUUUAUUAGGGAGACACAAUAAAGAGAGGAUUAUAGACAAGUAUGAAAGUUAAUAUGUUUUCAUUUUUAACAAAAAAGGCAAGUUAAACAAUGCAGGAUCAUCAAGAAUGAGCCUUAUUUUUUUCCCCCAAAUGUGAAAUUAAUUAAUAUUGUCAUUUUUAAGGUUUUAAAAUUUGUCUCUGAAUUGUCUGGUAAUAAAAGUCUAUGUAGAUGCAAAGUACCUAAAUUAUUUACAGUCUCAUUAGAAAAAGAAAGUAUCUAUUUUCAUUUACCUUCUCCUAUGAAAACAUUUUGAGGCAACCAAGAAGUCUUUGAAGUCUCUAAUCUGUUUUCUAAAGAAAAUAACAUUAAUUCAGCUGACUGAAUUAAGAUAGCACUCAUGCAUGCAAAAGCAGGAAAUGCUCCAGCAUGUUACAAAAAUAUACUGCACAUAUGACUAAAAGAAACAACCACUACUUAGGUAAUUGGUUCAGCCAUGACAGGUUCUCAGUUUUUUUUUCCAUGUUCCUGUUACAUACAGCAGAGUAUUUAUCUUGUCCAGAACUGAACAAUAAUCACAUACAGCUCAUCAUUUAAAUCACAGCAACCACUAGAACCAUAAUAAGAGUAACAGAAGCAGAACAAUUCCAUGGGAAAAUAUUUUCUCUUCUUUUAGUUUCAUAAAAAAAUAUAUAUCUGAGAUAGACUGCAUGUCUGCAGAAAGAAUGGACAUAAUACAAACACGGGUUCAAAAAUUUGGUGUUUUGGGAUGUUUUGGGUGUUUUAUUUGUAUUCAGCUGUCAGUUUUCUUCAAUGGCUCCAGACAUUCCUCUUGAUCUAAGGAUUGCCACACAGAGAGAGAGGACAAGGGAAGAUCAGAACAGGAUCUACUCUGAAAGUCUGGGUUGGCCUCGCAGGGCCAGGAGACUUGCACCCACCAUUUCAAGUAAUCUGACAUGCCAAGACAGUGACACAGGUUACUGCAAGUAAGGCCUGGUUCUGCUCAGCUGUCGAGAAGGUUUCCAUGAUGUCAUGAUGACAUCAUGAGUCAUAAAAACUGAGAAAAGGAGGAACAAUAGAUGAUUAAAUGGCCACAAGGAUUAGCCAGAUCAUGAAAAAUAACUUUAAGUGAAAGAUGAAAGGCCUGCCCAAUCAUCUUUAAUGUUAUUUGCUAGCACAGUCCUUCAUAUCUUGUCCUUCAUAUCUUGUGAGUGUGGUCAAGCAGACAAGAUUAUGGACUUUGAUUUUGCAAGGGCAGACUCAGUUACUUUUGAAGGCUGCCUCCAUUCUGCUCUGAGGGUAAAGAGUUUGCCCUCCCUCCUUUUCCCUCUGUUCAUCCCUGAAUCCUUACUGCCCUGGAAGGUCCUUCCACAUAGUCCCAGGGAGAGCUCAGCAGAGACGGAUGGUUAUGAAGACCCAGGGGGCUGCUAGAGCCAGGCAGGCAUUUACAUAACUCCCAUCUUUCCCAAACAAAUGUCUGAGCUCCACAGAAUGUUCAGUACAUGUCUUGUUUUGACCAAUGUCCCUGUAUUAUCAUUAUGCUGUUCAUUUCUGUUCAUUCUGAAUUUGAAUGUGAAGUGUUCAUAAAUAAAGGCACAUAUAGAUGU